rnacentral:rRNA from 1 species
CCUACGGGAGGCAGCAGUGAGGAAUAUUUGUCAAUGGGCGGGAGCCUGAACCAGCCAAGUCGCGUGAGGGAAGACGGUCCUAUGGAUUGUAAACCUCUUUAGGCGGGGAGCAAUGCCGGGCACGUGUGCCCGGAGGAAGAGUACCCGCAGAAUAAGCAUCGGCUAACUCCGUGCCAGCAGCCGCGGUAAUACGGAGGAUGCGAGCGUUAUCCGGAUUGAUUGGGUUUAAAGGGUGCGUAGGCGGAUUUUUAAGUCAGCGGUAAAAUGUCCGGGCUCAACCCGGGCCGGCCGUUGAAACUGGGGAUCUUGAGUGGGCGAGAAGUAUGCGGAAUGCGUGGUGUAGCGGUGAAAUGCAUAGAUAUCACGCAGAACUCCGAUUGCGAAGGCAGCAUACCGGCGCCCGACUGACGCUGAGGCACGAAAGCGUGGGGAUCGAACAGGAUUAGAUACCCGAGUAGUC